rnacentral:rRNA from 1 species
GACGAACCGUGCGAACGUUGUUCGGAAUCACUGGGCUUAAAGGGCGCGUAGGCGGGUUCGCAAGUCAGGGGUGAAAUCUUUCAGCUUAACUGGAAAACAGCCCCUGAUACUGCGAGUCUCGAGGGAGGUAGGGGCAUGUGGAACUUCCGGUGGAGCGGUGAAGUGCGUAGAUAUCGGAAGGAACGCCGGUGGCGAAAGCGACGUGCUGGACCUCUUCUGACGCUGAGGCGCGAAAGCUAGGGGAGCAAACGGG